UACGUAGGAUGCAAGCGUUGUCCGGAAUUAUUGGCGUAAAGGAGCGAGCAGGCGGUUGGAAGUUGGACGUGAAAUUUUAGGGCUUAACCCGUAAAGGGUCGUCCAAAACGUCCCAGUACUAGAGUGGCAGGAGAGGAAAGCGGAAUUCCCGGUGUGAGUGGUGAAAUGCGUAGAUAUCGGGAGGAACACCAGAGGCGAAGGCGGCUUUCGUGGCCUGUAACU
rnacentral:rRNA from 1 species